AGAAUCAACGCUGGCGGCGUGCCUAACACAUGCAAGUCGAACGAGAAAGUGGAGCAAUCCAUGAGUAAAGUGGCGCACGGGUGAGUAACACGUGACUAACCUACCCUUGAGUGGGGGAUAACCUAGAGAAAUCUGGGCUAAUACCGCAUAAUACCUUCGGGUCAAAGGAGCAAUUCGCUUAAGGAGGGGGUCGCGGCCGAUUAGUUAGUUGGCGGGGUAAUGGCCCACCAAGACGUAUGAUCGGUA
rnacentral:rRNA from 1 species